rnacentral:lncRNA from 1 species
UGUUCCUGUUCCAAUUUCUUGCCCUCCUCCCCUUGUAAAGUGGAGCACCAUUCCAUCACCAACAUAUAUCCCUGCGAUUUUGCACCAAAACAGUUGGCAAAACUAAUAUGACAAAUGCAGCAUCACACACAUUAAAGAAAUAAAAUUACAGAUUCUAAGUCCAUUUCAAGUUGAAUUUUCAAAUUUUCAAGUAUCGAAAAAGAACUAAAGGACUAAUACACACAACAAGAUCAAUGCCUUUAGAGUAUCCAAAUUUCAAAUAUCAAAAAGGAUUGAAGGACUGUGAGUCAACCUCAACAUUUUUGUCCCCAUUGACAUUCAAUACAUACAUUCCUAAAUAUCUAUAGAUUACAUAAUGUGCAGCUAAUGGGGUUAAUUUCCAGCUUAAUUAAAUAUCAAAUACAACAUUGCCUCACAUGAAUCAAUAUC